rnacentral:rRNA from 1 species
UACGUAGGGGGCAAGCGUUGUCCGGAUUUAUUGGGCGUAAAGAGCGUGUAGGCGGCCUGACAAGUCUGCUGUGAAAACUCGAGGCUCAACCUCGAGAUGUCGGCGGAAACUGUCUGGCUAGAGUCCGGAAGAGGAGAGUGGAAUUCCACGUGUAGCAGUGAAAUGCGUAGAGAUGUGGAGGAACACCGAUGGCGAAGGCAGCCUCCUGGGCCAGCACUGACGCUCAUGCACGAAAGCGUGGGGAGCAAACAGG